AUCAGUCUUACCAUUGCCUGGGGAGGUUAGAGAGGCCUUCCCGCAAUGGAAAGUCAUUGUGACGACAUCAGGGCCGUAAAGGAACUCCAUCAACAACACGAAAGCCGUAUACAAACCCUACACAAUGCUUAAUUGGAACGCUUCUCCUCUCUACAGACCGUAGUACACGACAUCGUCUCUUCCCUCAACCUCUCUCUUAAAACCAUUUCCCCAUUCAAUGGAAAACCCGUUACCCCCUUACCCACCCCCUCCCUAAUGUCCCGAAAGUUAAACGUGUUUUAGAACUUUCUAUAAAAGUAUCGUUGAUGAGUGUGGGGCCUGUUGUUGGUUGUGAGGGCGAUAGGUAUGGUGUGUUUGUUGGAGAGGGUACCGUUUACUGUUGUUGAUUCGUCGACGUCGUUGAGGAAGUUGGAGAGUGAGGAGUUGGAGGAUGCGGAAAAGUUGGCGUCUAGGGAGCUUGGAAGGGAGUCAGGGGUGGGUAGUAGCGAUGGAAGUGGCGUUGAAAUUGAUGGCGGAGGAUAAUGCUUGUGUUAAAUUAGAGAAUUUUGUGGUUAGUGGUAAAUCUAGGAUUAUGGGGUUCAACGUUGAUAGGACUAGGUUGUUGAAAGAACUGUGGGAGAGUAAGCAUGUUUCGGAACUUUCUAGAAGUAUUGUUGUUAAUGAGAAGGAGAAAAUAGUAAUUGAUGAGUGUUGAGGGCCGUUGUCGGUUGUGAGAGUGAUGGUUGAACUGAGUUUGUUGGAGAGAGUGUCUUUUACUGCUAUUAAUUUGUGGAUAUUGUUGAGGAAGUUGGAGAAUGAUCUGUUGGAGGAUGUUGAGAAGGUGGUGAGUAGGGAGCUUGGAGGGGAGUCAGGGGGAUUGUAGCGGUGGAAAUGGUGUUCAUAUCGAUGGCUGAGGAUAAUGGUUGUGUUGAAUUGGAGAAUUUUAUGGUUAGUGGGAAAUCUAGGAUUAUGGUGUUGAAUAUUGAUAGGAAUAGGUUAUUGAAAGAAGCAGAAUGAGGGGAGUGUUAGUGGAGGAAAUCGAGGUAAUAAGGAAAUGGUGAAAAGAGGGAGUGAUAAUGGAAGAGGAGUUUCUGGAAUGGGAAGGGCAAUGAGUUAAAUAUGGAGCAUUCACAUAUGCAGGGGAUGACAGGUAUAUCUCCGGGGAAUAUGGGUAGUUCGAGAGGUGGGCAUAGAGGAAUGGUGGGUACGAUGGGGAUGCUGAGAGGUGUUGGUGUUCCACCUCCGAUGCCUAGACCACCAAUGUUGCCAAAUGGGCUCGUAGGAGGAGGAAAUUCUAUUGCUUUGAAGGCUAGGACAGAAGAAGAUGUGAGGAAAGAUUUAGGGAAUAUGUUGAAUAAGAAAAGCUUUAGGUAAAUGCAGAAAUCAAAAACUGGAGAGGAGUUAUUGGACCUUAUUCGUCUGUCCACAGUGAAGGAAUCUGCCAUUGCUGCAAGGGUAUUGGAUAAUCCCCGUUUUCUUUUGAAUUCAUUUAUCAGAGCUUUGUGUUUCCAAUUUCAGAAACUUUUUGUUUGAUAAUUUCUAUAGAUAUAAAUUUCUCGCAGAUAUCAUGAAUUGAUUAAUUUUGCAUUCCUUGAUAUAAUGCAUUAUGGAAAUAAGUGAAACUUGCUAAGUUACAGCUGCUUCAUAUUUCUACUUGAAUUGCGGUGUGCCAAAUUUGUUUCUUCUUCUUUUUAACUUUGUUAUAUUUUGCAUUUUAGUUGAACGGGGUUCCUCCUAACCUUAUUGAUUGAAUUUCCUAUGUUGCUCUGCUCCACGUCUUUUCUUGUCUAUUGUUUCUUUGUUAAAGCUUUUGUUGUGCAUUAUCUCAUAUUAAUUGAUGCCUUUUUAAAUUUGAAUUUCCUACGUUGUUCUGCUGCACGUGUUUUCGUGUCUCUUGUUUCUUUGCUAAAGCUUUUGUAGUGCAUUAUCUCAUAUAACGGAAGGGAUAUAUUUGGACCUAAACUCAAAAAAGAGAUACAUUUAAAUUAUUUUUGAUAAUACAUGAAUGUAUUUGACUCUUUGUCAUAUAAAUAUUCUCCCACAAAAAUGGAUCUACUUCUUUCAAACCUCCUCAGAUCCUAUUUGUGACCUUACACUGCACUAUAUUAUUGACUUGUUGUAUACUCUUCCUGUUUUAAUUUAUUUGUCCUACUUUUCAUUUUAGUCCAUUUAAAAAAGAAUGAUCCUUUCCGUCUUUAGCAUCACGUUAAUUGCAAUUUUCCAUGUGGCAUUGUUUAAGACCACAAGAUUAAGGACAUUUUUGGUACAUUUGACAUAUCUUAAUUUAAACCACAAGAUUCAAUAGUUUCUUUACUUUCUUAAACUCGUGUCAAGUCAAAAUAUAUCAAAGAAAUUGUAACGGAUGGAGUAAUUUUAAAAGAUUAGAAUGUGUUUAAUAAUCAGCAAAGUUGGAUGCUGAGCAGGAUUAUUUCCUGAUUUUCCCUCUUUCGUUCAACAUAAAGAAACCCUAGCUCAAAACCUUCUCCACUAAUAGACCUCGCGAUCUGAAUCUAAGAUUGAAGAAAACUACCAACAAUGGAAAGUCACUCUGACGGCACCUGAUGAAAUCACGGCUGUGAAGGAGCUCCGGCAACAACACGAAACCUGUAUACAAAGGCUAUGCAAUACUCAAUUGGAACUCAUCACCUCUCUACAAACCAAAAUACCCGACGUUGUCUCUUCACUUGACCUCUCUCAAGACCAUUUCAUCCUUCAAUGGCAGACCCUUUACCCCUUUACCCAACCCCCUCCCUAAUGCCCCUAACCAUAACCCUAAUUUACCUGUCCCCAAGAUCAAAUGUGUUUCGGAACUUUCUAGAAGUGUUAGUGAGAAGGAGAAGAUGGUAAUUGAUGAAUAUGGGGGAUCUUUGUCGGUUGUAAAGGCGAUGGUUGCUGUGUAUUUGUUAGAGAGAGUACCAUAUACUGCUAUUGAUUCAUUUUCUUUGUUAACGAAGUUGGAAACUGAUCAUUCACAUAUGGCUGCUGAGAAGGCCGCGAUUAGGGAGCUAGGAGGGGAGUCGGGGGUGAUAAUGGCAUUGAAAUCGAUGGCGGAGGAUAAUGGCUGUGUAGAAUUGGAGAGUUUUGUAGUUAGGGGGAAAUGAUUAUGGUGUUAAAUAUUGAUAGGACUAGGUUAUUGAAAGAAUUUCCGGAAAGCAUGCAGAAUGAGGGAAGUAUUAGUGGAGAAAAUCGGAGUAAUCAGGAAAUGGUGAAAAGAGGGAGUGAUAAUAGAAGAGUAUUUGGAAUGGGAAGGGCAAUUAGUGAAAUGUGGGAGCAUCCACAUAUGCAGGGAAUGACAGCUAUGUUUCCUGGGAAUAUGGGCCUACCGAGAGGUAGGCAUAGAGGAAUGGUAGAUAUGCUGGGGAUACCAAAAGGUGUUGGUAUUCCACCUCCGAUGCGUAGACUGCCAAUGGGGCCGAAUGGGCCUGUAGGAGGAGGAAAUUCUAUUGCUUUGAAGCCUAGGACAGAAGAAGAUGAGAUGAAUGAUUUACAGAAUAUGUUGAAUAAGAAAAGUUUUAGGGAAAUGCAUUGGAGAGGAGUUAUUGGACCUUAUUUAUCGGCCCACUGCGAAGGAAUCUGCUGUCCCUGCAAGGGUAUUAGACAAUCCUACUUUUUUGAACUCAUCCAUUGCGGCUUUCUGUUAUCCAUUUCAAAAACUUUCUGUUUGAUAAUUUCUAUAGAUAUAAUUUUCUCGCAGAUAAAAUGAAUUGAUUAAUUUUUUCAUUCCUUGGUACAAUGCAUUAUGGAAAUAAGUGAAACUUGUUAAGUCACAACUAUUUCAUAUUUAUACUUGAAUUGCGAUGUGCCAAAUUUGUUUCUUCUUCUCUCUAACUUUGUCUUUUUUUCAUUUUAAUUGAAAUGGAUCCUCUUAUCUUAUCAUUUAAAUUUCCUAUGUUUGUCUCUUUCCGAAAGAUUUUGUAGUGCGGUAUCUCAUACUAAUUGCUGCUUUUUUAUUUAAAUUGUAUUUCAGUUCAAAAGUAAAGGUGGUUCCUGGGUGAAAGAAUAUUGUUCGGCUUUAACAAAGGAAGAUUGUCGAUACCAAUCUGGUUCCUACAUUGCAUGUGAUAAGGUUAGACCAAGUCGUUUUAAGUGUCACUGCUUUAAAUAUCUUAUUGAAGCUUUUAAAUUGUUACCAUUUGUUUUGAACAUAGGAUGGUAGUCUGAACCAUUAAUGAAUAUUAUAGAUGGUGUCAAUCACAAUGUUAUUGAAAGUCAUUGCUUUGUCGAUUAAAGUGAUGAGAAUAGUGGGGUCAUCGCUUUAUGGGCAAAUCUGGGUGCUAGUGUUUAAUGUGCGCCUCAAAGAGUGACACCUAAAGUAACCCAACAAUAAACAGCCGAUUCAUUGAUUCUCAACUUUGAGGAGCUGGAUUAAAUCAACAUUGUUGCAUAUUAGAUGUCAAAAUCAGUUGUUUUGUUGAAUUUUGAAGUUCAUUGUACUAAAUAAAUAUAUGUAUGAUUUUUAUUUUCUGUGAACUGUGCACUAUGCUUUAAUAAAGCAUGCACUCCAUUUCUUGAUUUUCCCUUAAACAAGUCCGACAGAUCUUGACGUUUUUUGUGUUUUUUUGCUUUUCACUGGUUUAUCCAUACCCUUAUUUCGGAUAGAUAUGGUAACUUUAUUAUGAUGCAUUUUAGGUUUAUCAUUACCUUUAUUUCGGAUAGACAUGGUAACUUUAUUAUGAUGCAUUUUAGGUUCAUUUUCGGCGAAUAAUUGCUGCGCAUACUGAUGUCAACUUGGGUGAUUGCUCUUAUCUUGAUACUUGCCGUCAUAUGAAGGUGAUUUCCAUGACUAACUUGCUUACAGAAGAAUUGGCUUAUAUCUGUUGGAAAUAGAUCAUUUACGCUCAUUUAAUUGGCGGACAUGCAAAUAUGUACAUUAUGAGCUUGACUCGAAACCGGAUGUAUCAACCCUGAUGAUGGGAGCAGCUUCCUUGCCCCCUCCCAAGCCUUUGAAGCCUCAGCGUCCUUGUUACUGUUCAGAAGUAGAGCUUGGUGAACCACAAUGGAUUAAUUGUGACAUUCGGUCUUUUAGAAUGGAUAUUUUAGGGCAGUUUGGAGUUAUAAUGGCUGAUCCACCAUGGGAUAUUCAUAUGGAAUUGCCUUAUGGGACAAUGCCUGAUGAUGAAAUGCGCACUCUAAAUGUUCCUGCACUGCAAACUGAUGGUCUUAUAUUCCUUUGGGUCGCUGGACGUGCAAUGGAUCUUGGACGGGAAUGGUUAGAGUCCUUCUCUCACUUUCAAUAUAUAAAACAUCUUCUUUUCUAGAUGAUAACAAAAAAUAGACUUGUACAGCCUGGCCUAGAUACGUAAAAUCUGAAGUAUGUCCCUGCAUAACAUAAAAGGCUCUUUGAUAGUUUGUGCUUUUUAAGUUGAUUAUCAUUCUUGCAAAAUGUCCAUUGUUAUCAGCGAGUGGUUUCACAAUCAUUCUUGAGGAAUAUCAUUAACUAUUGAUAGCAUAACUUGUGGCUUUUUGGUUGUUGAAAUGAUGUAACUAAUGGUUAUCCUAUAAAAAUGGGGCAUAUGCGAAAGAUCAUUUCUUAUAUUUCUUCCAGUUGUUGCACCCGAGGGUGUGGUUUAGAGGUCAAUGAAGUGGGUUGAGAACUAUGAGGUCCCUGGUUCAAAUCCCAGCAGAGUAGUAAGUAGUAAUAUAUCAAGCUAAACACUCGUAAACCCUACACUACUAAUCUCUGCAUUUUUAGUCACUGCAUAACCUGUCUUAAACAAAACGACCCCUCAAGUAUCUUGGUUCUUUCAUUUGCACACCGAUGAUAAUAAUUGAUAUAAUAUUUACUCCCGAACAUUAAGCUUCUAGAAUUUGAAAUAUCCUGCUCUUUGGCUCUUACUAACAACUGUUUCUUCCCUAUUUAUGUGCAUUAUGACAAUCUCGUAUGGUUUACCAUCUGGUCUUGUGGUGUUUCAGUCAGCAGGUGGUCUUAGAAUUUGCUAUAUAUCUAUGAUAGUACUCACCCCUCAUCCAAAAAAUAUAUGACACACAAAGAGUCUGAACUAGGACUUGUUAUUUAAAGAAUAGGCAGGUCUGAAUGUUUUUCUAAAUUAUUGAACCAAACAUUCAAAACUUAUAGGAAGAAAAUAGCAUUAGAAGCUUGUGUCUUGUGGUACAUUUGACUUGUUCUAGUUGGAGUUUGCGAGGUCCUUUGGGCUGGUGGUGGUGAACUCGGGCUUUCCGAAGAAGGACGAUCACCUGAUCACCUUUCGAAGCGCGAUAGCCAGGACCCAGAUUGACUUUUUGUUGCUUAGGAAAAGGGAUAGGGCGUUGUGUAAGGACUGUAAGGUCAUCCCGAGUGAGAAUCUUUCGACCCAACAUAGGCUCUUAGUUAUGGAUUUGGGUAUAAAGAAGAAUAGAAAGAGGAGGAGUAAGGAGUGUAGACCUAGAAUUAAGUGGGGCGGCUUGACGCCAGUGAAUGCAUGGGAGAUAGGGGAGAAGUUGGCGGGAAUGGGGGUGUGGGAGUGUAGGGGGGACGUGGAUAGUAUGUGGGAUAGGGCGGCUAGGUGCAUCAGGGAGAAUGCUAGUGAGGUGUUGGGUGUUUCUAGGGGCCGGGCCGGGCAUCAUCGGGGGGAUUGGUGGUGGAAUGAAGAGGUGGAGAAGAAAGUGGGGACCAAGAAAGGGGCGUAUGCUAAAUUGGUUGAGAGUAAGGACGAAGAAGAGAAGCGGGUAAACAGGAAAGAGUACAAGCUAGCUAGGAAGGAGGCUAAGUCAGCAGUCACGGCAGCUAAGACGGCCGCUUUUGAGAGCUUGUAUGCAGGGUUACAGGGGAAAGGAGGGGAGAAAAAGUUGUUUAGACUCGCUAAGGCUAGGGAGAGGAAGGGUCGUGACCUCGAUCAGGUGAGGUGCAUUAAGGGGGAGGACGGUAGAGUGUUGGUGGAGGACGGCCACAUAAAGAAGAGAUGGCAGUCGUACUUUCAUAGGCUCUUGAAUGACGAGGGGGACAGAGCUAUUGUGUUAGGGGAACUGGAGCACUCAGGGGAUGUAGACGUUUUAAGGUAGAAGAGGUUAGAGAGGCUGUUCGCAGGAUGCGAAGGGGGAGGGCGACGGGGCCGGACGAGAUACUGGUGGAGUUUUGGAAGUUCGUUGGAGAGACUGGUGUAAGGUGGUUGACUGGAUUGUUUAAUGGAAUCUUCAAGACGGCAAAGAUGCCCGAGGCUUGGAAGUAGAGUACCAUGAUCCCUCUCUCUAAGAAUAAGGGUGACAUCCAGAGUUGCAAUAACUAUAGGGGGAUUAAGUUAUUGAGUCACUCUAUGAAGAUUUGGGAGAGAGUGGUCGAGGUGAGGCUGAGACGGAUAGUGUCUAUUUCGGAAAACCAGUUUGGAUUUAUGCCUGGCCGCUCGACGACGGAGGCAAUUCACCUGGUGCGGAGGUUGGUGGAACAGUAUAGGGAAAGGAAGAAGGACCUGCACAUGGUGUUUAUCGACCUGGAGAAGGCUUACGACAAAGUCCCCAGGGAGGUGCUUUGGAGAUGCUUGGAGGUGAGUGGAGUACUUCUGGCAUAUAUCAGAGCAAUUAAGGAUAUGUAUGAUGGUGCAAAAACCCAGGUGAGGACGGCGGGAGGAGACUCAGAGCAUUUCACUGUCUUGACAGGAUUGCAUCAGGGAUCUACUCUUAGUCCCUUUUUGUUUGCGUUGGUGAUGGAUAUGGUGACGCGGCGUAUUCAAGUGGAGGUGCCUUGGUGUAUGCUUUUUGCAGACGAUGUAGUUCUGAUAGAUGAGACUCGAGGGGGUGUGAAUGACAAAUUAGAGGUAUGGAGGNNNNNNNNNNNNNNNNNNNNNNNNNNNNNNNNNNNNNNNNNNNNNNNNNNNNNNNNNNNNNNNNNNNNNNNNNNNNNNNNNNNNNNNNNNNNNNNNNNNNNNNNNNNNNNNNNNNNNNNNNNNNNNNNNNNNNNNNNNNNNNNNNNNNNNNNNNNNNNNNNNNNNNNNNNNNNNNNNNNNNNNNNNNNNNNNNNNNNNNNNNNNNNNNNNNNNNNNNNNNNNNNNNNNNNNNNNNNNNNNNNNNNNNNNNNNNNNNNNNNNNNNNNNNNNNNNNNNNNNNNNNNNNNNNNNNNNNNNNNNNNNNNNNNNNNGUCCGGACAGGGUUGCAUCAGGGAUCUACUCUUAGUCCCUUUUUGUUUGCGUUGGUGAUGGAUGUGUUGACGCGGCGUAUUCAAGGGGAGGUGCCGUGGUGUAUGCUUUUUGCAGACGAUGUAGUUCUGAUAGAUGAGACUCGAGGGGGUGUGAAUGACAAAUUAGAGGUGUGGAGGCAAACUCUUGAGUCUAAAGGGUUCAGGGUGAGCAGAAGCAAGACAGAGUAUGUGGAAUGCAAGUUUAAUGACGUGAGGCGGGAGAAUGAGGUAGUAGUGAAGCUGGAAUCAUAGGAGGUAUGUAAGAGGGAUAGUUUCAAGUAUCUCGGGUCCGUGAUCCAGAGUAACGGUGAGAUUGACGAGGAUGUCUCGCACCGUAUUGGGGCGGGAUGGAUGAAGUGGAAGCUCGCAUCGGGUGUGUUGUGUGAUAAGAAGGUGCCGCCUAAGCUGAAAGGCAAAUUCUACAGGGUGGUAGUCCGUCCGGCCAUGUUGUAUGGGGCGGAGUGUUGGCCAGUUAAGAACUCCCACAUCCAAAAAAUGAAGGUGAUAGAAAUGCGGAUGUUGUGUUGGAUGUGUGGGCUGACUAGAGGGGAUAGAGUGCGGAAUGAGACUAUGCGGGAGAAGGUUGGUGAGACUCCAGUGGAGUGCAAGAUGCGGGAAGCCCGAUUGAGAUAGUUCGGACACGUGAAGAGAAGGGGCAUGGAUGCCCCGGUUCGUAGGUAUGAGAGGCUAGCGUUGGAUNNNNNNNNNNNNNNNNNNGGGAAUUACUUGGUGGGGGUUUUAUUCUUGUUAUGAUUCCGUGUUCCAUGUUUUAUUACGAAUCUGUGUGCUUUCCUCUGUUUUCUAAUACUUAUGGGUGCCGUAUUUAUGUUAUGUAAUCUAGUUCUGUGCUUUACUAUGAGUUUGUGUGGUAUCUCGUGACUUGAGCCGGGGGUCUAUCGGAAACAACCUUUCUACUUCUUUAGAGGUAGAGGUAUGGACUGCGUACAUCUUACCCCCCAGACACCACUAGGUGGGAAUACACUGGGUUUGUUGUUGUUGUUGUUGUAUAUAAUUCCUGUUCUGUGAAUAAAAGAUUAUGGCUGCUAAGUUCCAUUACUAGUAUAUGGCUCUUGCUGUCUAGAGCCUUGGGUUACAAGCGUGUUGACGAGAUCAUUUGGGUUAGGACCAAUCAACUUCAGCGAAUCAUCAGAACUGGCCGAACAGGCCAUUGGCUCAAUCACAGCAAGGAACACUGCCUUGUUGGAAUAAAGGGAAAUCCAGAGGUAAACGGGAAUAUUGAUACUGAUGUCAUAGUAGCAGAUGUUCGGAAACGAGUCGUAAGCCAGUCGAGGUGAGAAAAAUGUAGAUUUUUUUUUUCUUUUGGGAAAGGAAAAAGUAGCUAAAAACUAAAAGCUUCAAAGCAUAGAUACAUUUGUUGGUGUUCAUGGAAUUAUUUUUAAAUGUCUGUAAUCUUAGUGUUAUUGUUGAAAUCUACCUCAUGAGCUAGUAAUUGAUGUUGAGUUGGCACGAUGACAUGGCUGCUGAUGUGUUUUUGUUUCUAGAAGAUAGAUAUUUUCUCUUUUAGUCUGUUGCUCGGACUCUUAAAAAUUGUCAAUGGGUACGUAUCGGAUCAUCCAAAAAAGUGUAUUUUUGAAGGAUCUGACAUGGGUGUGGCAAUAGUUUUGGAGAGUCUGAGCAACUUAGGUUUUAGUUUUUAAGUUGUUAGUUUCCUAGUCUUUAGGCAUGUAGUAGUUGGAUUGAUUUAGUUCCUCGUUAUUAGGAAGUUUCUGUUUUGAGUUACUGCACUAUUUUACUUCUGAUAGGUUAGGAUUUCCUUGUAUUUGAACAUCUUCUUCUUCAACUUAAUAAAAUAACCCUUUUCUUCUUCUGUAGUAUGUUUUAUGUUUUUUUUCAUCUGUUAACACCAUCAAAUUGGUAUCAGAGCCCCUCUUUUUAAGGGACUUGUGAGUGACUUGUUAGUGUAGUCUGAGUGAACCAUAAAUGAAGUGCCCUACCUGUUUCCUGAAAAGCCAUCAUCAGAACACAUGGAAAUAGAAAAUUCUUCUGGUUCUUAUGCUAUUUCUGCACCGGUGUUUGAUGGAG
rnacentral:lncRNA from 1 species